rnacentral:rRNA from 1 species
GUGCCAGCCGCCGCGGUAAUACGUAGGUGGCAAGCGUUGUCCGGAUUUAUUGGGUUUAAAGGGUGCGUAGGCGGCCUAUUAAGUCAGUGGUGAAAUAUCUCAGCUUAACUGAGAAGGUGCCAAUGAUACUGAUGGGCUUGAGUACAGAUGAGGUAGGCGGAAUUGACGGUGUAGCGGUGAAAUGCUUAGAUAUCGUCAAGAACACCUAUAGCGAAGGCAGCUUACUAGGCUGUAACUGACGCUGAGGCACGAAAGUGUGGGGAUCAAACAGGAUUAGAUACCCCCGUAGUCC